rnacentral:rRNA from 1 species
CCUACGGGAGGCUGCAGUGGGGAAUAUUGGACAAUGGGGGCAACCCUGAUCCAGCCAUGCCGCGUGUGUGAAGAAGGCCCUCGGGUUGUAAAGCACUUUCAGUGAGGAAGAACGCCUGGUGGUUAAUACCCAUCAGGAAAGACAUCACUCACAGAAGAAGCACCGGCUAACUCCGUGCCAGCAGCCGCGGUAAUACGGAGGGUGCGAGCGUUAAUCGGAAUUACUGGGCGUAAAGCGCGCGUAGGUGGCUUGAUAAGCCGGUUGUGAAAGCCCCUGGCUCAACCUGGGAACGGCAUCCGGAACUGUCAAGCUAGAGUGCAGGAGAGGAAGGUAGAAUUCCCGGUGUAGCGGUGAAAUGCGUAGAGAUCGGGAGGAAUACCAGUGGCGAAGGCGGCCUUCUGGACUGACACUGACACUGAGGUGCGAAAGCGUGGGUAGCAAACAGGAUUAGAUACCCUUGUAGUC